rnacentral:rRNA from 1 species
UACAGAGGUCCCAAGCGUUGUUCGGAUUUACUGGGCGUAAAGGGUGCGUAGGCGGUGGGGUAAGUUUGAGGUGAAAGCUCCGGGCUCAACCCGGAAAAUGCCUUGAAAACUAUCCGGCUAGAGGGUUGGAGGGGAGACUGGAAUUCUCGGUGUAGCAGUGAAAUGCGUAGAUCUCGAGAGGGAACACCAGUGGCGAAGGCGGGUCUCUGGACAACACCUGACGCUGAGG